GCCAGUGUGGCAUAGUGGUUUGAGUGUUGGACUAUGAAUCUGGCGACCAAGGUUCAAUUUCCAGUUCGGCCA
rnacentral:tRNA from 1 species